rnacentral:rRNA from 1 species
CACACUAUCAUUAACUGAAUCCAUAGGUUAAUGAGGCGAACCGGGGGAACUGAAACAUCUAAGUACCCCGAGGAAAAGAAAUCAACCGAGAUUCCCCCAGUAGCGGCGAGCGAACGGGGAGGAGCCCAGAGCCUGAAUCAGUGUGUGUGUUAGUGGAAGCGUCUGGAAAGGCGCGCGAUACAGGGUGACAGCCCCGUACACAAAAAUGCACAUACUGUGAGCUCGAUGAGUAGGGCGGGACACGUGGUAUCCUGUCUGAAUAUGGGGGGACCAUCCUCCAAGGCUAAAUACUCCUGACUGACCGAUAGUGAACCAGUACCGUGAGGGAAAGGCGAAAAGAA